GACGAACGCUGGCGGCGUGCCUAAUACAUGCAAGUCGAACGCUGAAGGAGGAGCUUGCUUCUCUGGAUGAGUUGCGAACGGGUGAGUAACGCGUAGGUAACCUGCCUGGUAGCGGGGGAUAACUAUUGGAAACGAUAGCUAAUACCGCAUAAGAGUAGCUGUUGCAUGACAUUUGCUUAAAAGUUUCAAUUGCAUCACUUCCAGAUGGACCUGCGGUGUAUUAGCUAGUUGGUGGGGUAGAGGCUUACCAAGGCGACGAUGGAUAGCCGGCCUGAGAGGGUGAACGGCCCCAUGGGGACUGAGGGACGGCCCAGAAGGCUACUGGAGGCAGCGGUGGGGAAUAUUGCACAAUGGGCGGAAGGGUGAGAAAGAAAUGCCGCGUGCGGAAUGACGGCUUUGAGGUGAUAAACGGUUUUGGGCUGGGAAGAAGCGUGAGUGACGGUAAUGGGUAAAGAAGGAACGGCUAACUACGUG
rnacentral:rRNA from 1 species